GAUGAAGAACGUAGCGAAAUGCGAUAAGUAGUGUGAAUUGCAGAAUUCAGUGAAUCAUCGAAUCUUUGAACGCACAUUGCGCCCUUUGGUAUUCCUUAGGGCAUGCCUGUUCGAGCGUCAUUUAAACCUUCAAGCUCAGCUUGGUGUUGGGUGACUGUCCGCUUCACCGCGGACUCGCCUCAAAAUUAUUGGCGGCCGGUACAUUGGCUUCGAGCGCAGCAGAAACGCGAACUCGGGCCCGUCGUAUUGGCUCCCAGAAGCUAUCUUCACAAUUUUGACCUCGGAUCAGGUAGGGAUACUCGCUGAACUUAAGCAUAUCAAUAAGCGGAGGA
rnacentral:misc_RNA from 1 species